rnacentral:rRNA from 1 species
GACGAACGCUGGCGGCGUGCCUAAUACAUGCAAGUAGAACGCUGAAGCGAGGAGCUUGCUCUACUUGGGUGAGUAACGAACGGGUGAGUAACGAGUAGGUAACCUGCCUUGUAGCGGUGGCUAACUAUUGGAAACGAUAGCUAAUACCGCGUAACACUGGAUGACGCAUGGCGUUUGUUUGAAAGGGGCAAUUGCUCCACUACAAGAUGGACCUGCGUUGUAUUAGCUAGUAGGUGAGGUAAUGGCUCACCUAGGCGACGAUACAUAGCCGACCUGAGAGGGUGAUCGGCCACACUGGGACGGGGACAGGGCCCAUACUACUGCGGGAGGGAGCAGUAGGGAAGCGUCGGCAAUGGGGGCGACCCUGACCGAGCAACGCCGCGUGAGUGAAGAAGGGUGUCGGAGCGGAAAGCUCUGUUGUAAGUCAAGAACGGGUGUGAGAGUGGAAAGUUCAUACUGUGACGGUAGCUUACCAGAAAGGGCCGGCUAACUACGUG